GACUUAGCAAUAAAUAAUGCGUAUGAAUCUGGAACAGUAGAUUGAUUUAUGUACAGAUUUGUGCAAUUUUACUCUACAGCAAUAGAACUGUAUAAAUAAAAAGAUAUGCAUAUGUAUUUACAUAAUACUUGAGAAAGGCAAUCAUUUAAGAUUUAGAAUGAUUUACGGAAAUGAAUUACAGAACACAGGUAAUGAUUCAUAUGUUAGCUGUUUAAGCUGGAGAUGGCACAGGGGAAAAAACUGUUUUCAUGCCUAGAUGUUCAAGUGCGCAGAGAUCUGUAGCGUCUGUCUGAGGGGAGAAGUGCAAACAGGUUGUGUCCGGGGUGAGAGGGGUCUUUGAUGAUGUUACCUGCCCGUUUCUUCAGUCUGGAGUCAAGUCCUGAAGACUGGGCAGGUGCACACCAAUGAUCCUUUUUGCUGCCCUAACAGUCCAUUGCAGUCUUCUUAAAUCUGAUUUGCUGGCUGACCCAAACCAGACAGUUAUAGAAGAGCACAGAACCGACUCAAUAAUAGCUGAGUAAAACUGUGUCAUCUGUGCCUUUGGCAGGUUGAACUUUUUCAACUGACGAAGGAAGUACAACCUCUGCUGGGCCUUUUUCACAAUGGAGUCAAUGUGAAUGUCCCACUUCAGGUCCUGAGAGAUGGUUGUGCCCAGGAACCUGAAGGACUGCACUGCAGCCACAGUGCUGUUCAUGAUGGGGCGGCGGGAACAUCUGUACUGCCCGACGAACUGGGAACAGUGUCGAGAUUCUGGAUGAACUGGUGUGGACUGAUUGGUUAUGACAUUUGACAUCUAAUGCAAGAAGAAGAGUUAUUUCCUUUUUUGUCCAAACCCACACUUUUCUUAAAAGCUAUGGGGACAGAUUAGCCAAUGUUUCUCUCUCUCUGAAGAAAACUUUAAAUAACCUUUUUUUUUUCAAAAAAUGUGCCAUUCAAUAAAGUUUGAAUAAUUAACUUCCCAUUUCCCAGACCUUUUCAACAUCCUGCCUUCAAAC
ensembl:lncRNA